AUAUAUACUCAAAGGAAUACACUCACUAUAGUGCCUUCCACUAUGAUCGGAACGCAGCCUAUUGAUAAGAUCACAUCACACAAUCUUUCACAGAAUUUCAUAAGCACUAUACAUAAAAAUACAAAAUAUGCUUAGAUCUGUCAUUACAACUUAUGAUUUUAAAAAAAUAUGUAAAUAUAAUAAUUGAAACUUGGUGAUUUAUAUAAAAUAUGGAUUUAACUACAAACGAACAUUUAGAGAUAAAAAACGAUUUUCAUUCAUCCAAUCAUGAAUGGACUUGGGAUGAAAAACUGUCAACUUCAUCCAUUAAAUUAUCAGAUAACAACUUAAAUGUUAUAUUUCAUCCUAUAUAUAGCACUGGUACAGCCGUCGCAAAAGGUAAUAAACCAUUAGAGAAAGGAAGGCAUCAUUUUUGGGAGAUUUUAAUGAUAACACAUAUAUAUGGCACUGAUGUAAUGGUUGGUGUAGGAACUGCAAAUGCCAAGAUUUAUGAUGCAAGUGAUAAUUUUUGUGCUCUGCUCGGACGAGAUCAAGAAUCUUGGGGUUUUUCAUAUAAAGGAUAUUUGCAGCACGACGGUAAAACAUGUAAAUAUGGGACAAGCUUUGGUCAAGAUAACUUGGUAGGAAUUCAUCUUGACACUUGGAUUGGCACGUUACAAUUUUUUAUCAAUCGAAAACCAUUGGGUAUGGCUUUUACAAAGUUAAACAAUUUUACACUUUAUCCAUUAGUGAGCUCAACAAUGGCUCAAUGUGUAAUGAAAUUAACCUAUAGUUGUUCAACACCAGCAUCUCUACAAACUACUUGUCUCGCAGUUUUGUCACCUUCACAGAAAGCACAUUUAUCAAAAAAUUUUCCUGGUUUGCGUUAUCUCACUCAAAAUAUCUUUGCUGAUAUACUACAAAAAUCUAUUGAUUGUGAUAAUGAGGACGACUUUGAAUUUCCUGCAGAGUAUAUUAUUUUAGAUGAUUUUGAUUACGCACUUGUUGGAAUAAAGAAGAAAAAGCAUUUUUAGUGAUACACAGAGUUAUAUAAAUAUUUUCAAAUAUUUUUUAAGUGUUACCUGAAACUCUGGCCACCGUGCAAUGUAAGAGCAAGAUUCAGUUCUGUACAUAAACAAGGUUAAAGUUUUAUAUCGAGAGGACAACAGAAAAACAAAAAUCCAAAUCACAUGCGACACUUUCACGCGCAUGUGGUGUAAACAGAGGACGCGAGACGGCGGGACACGACCGUAGCGCAGCUACAAACGCUCCAUAGUGUUUGUAGCGUUUACUGGACCGCAGCCUAUACGAGUUUUGGAACAUAUUAUGAGUGUUUGAUAAAAUAUUACAUCCCUGAGAAUUGCUAUUGACAUCCUCGGAAGAAGAAUACGUCAUUAUUUUAUGGCAAUCUCUCACGUUCUAUACCCUUAAUAAGGAACAUUAUCUCAAUAAAGCACUUUGAUUGAAGCACGUCGAAGAAGAUUUUACCUAUGAAAUCCGCCGACGCAGUCCCGGCCAUUUUUAAACACGUGCGAAAUCUAUAAUAUGCAAAAACAAAUAAAAAAUAUGAUAAUAUUGUUACAAGUGUUAAAAUUGUACAAAUUGUUGCACGUAUUAAUAAUAAAUGUUGUGAUGUUUGCAAACAUCAAACAAUUUGUCUCGAAAAUAA